UACAGAGGUCUCAAGCGUUGUUCGGAUUUAUUGGGCGUAAAGCGCGUGUAGGCGGCCACACAGGUCCGUUGUGAAAACUCGAGGCUUAACCUCGAGACGUCGAUGGAAACCGUAUGGCUAGAGUCCGGAAGAGGAGAGUGGAAUUCCUGGUGUAGCGGUGAAAUGCGCAGAUAUCAGGAAGAACACCGGUGGCGAAGGCGGGUCUCUGGGCCGUAACUGACGCUGAGGAGCGAAAGCAUGGGGAGCGAACAGG
rnacentral:rRNA from 1 species